UACGGGGGGGGCAAGCGUUGUUCGGAAUUACUGGGCGUAAAGGCGCGUAGGCGGCCAUCUAAGUCAGACGUGAAAUCCCUCGGCUCAACCGAGGAACUGCGUCUGAUACUGGAAGGCUUGAAUCCGGGAGAGGGAUGUGGAAUUCCAGGUGUAGCGGUGAAAUGCGCAGAUAUCAGGAGGAACACCGGUGGCGAAGGCGGGUCUCUGGGCCGAGUAUUGACGCUGAGGAGCGAAAGCGUGGGGAG
rnacentral:rRNA from 1 species